AGAGUUGAUCAUGGCUCAGGAUGAACGCUAGCUACAGGCUUAACACAUGCAAGUCGAGGGCAGCGGAAGUUAGCUGCUAACUUGCCGGCGACCGGCGCACGGGUGAGUAACGCGUAUCCAACCUUCCCCUUAGUAGGGCAUAGCCCGUAGAAAUGCGGAUUAAUACCCUAUGUUAUUCGUCGAGGACAUCUGAAGUGAAUCAAAGGUUUACCGCUAAGGGAUGGGGAUGCGUCUGAUUAGGCAGCAGGCGGGGUAACGGCCCACCUGGCCGACGAUCAGUAGGGUUCUGAGAGGAAGGUCCCCCCACAUUGGAACUGAGACACGGUCCAAACUCCUACGGGGAGGCAGCAGUGAGGAAUAUUGGUCAAUGGUCGAGAGACUGAACCAGCCAAGUAGCGUGCAGGAUGACGGCCCUAUGGGUUGUAAGCUGCUUUUAUGCGGGGAUAAAGUGACGUACGUGUACGUUUUUGUAGGUACCGCAUGAAUAAGGACCGGCUAAUUCCGUGCCAGCCGCCGC
rnacentral:rRNA from 1 species